GUGUCAGCAGCCGCGGUAAUACGAAGGGGGCUAGCGUUGCUCGGAAUUACUGGGCGUAAAGGGCGCGUAGGCGGACAGUUAAGUUGGGGGUGAAAGCCCGGGGCUCAACCUCGGAAAUGCCUUCAAUACUGGCUGUCUUGAGUACGGGAGAGGUGAGUGGAACUCCGAGUGUAGAGGUGAAAUUCGUAGAUAUUCGGAAGAACACCAGUGGCGAAGGCGACUCACUGGCCCGUUACUGACGCUGAGGCGCGAAAGCGUGGGGAGCAAACAGGAUUAGAUACCCUGGUAGUCCACGCCGUAAACGAUGAGUGCUAGUUGUCGGCAUGCAUGCAUGUCGGUGACGCAGCUAACGCAUUAAGCACUCCGCCUGGGGAGUACGGUCGCAAGAUUAAA
rnacentral:rRNA from 1 species